rnacentral:rRNA from 1 species
ACAUGCAAGUCGAACGGCAUCACGGACUUAGGUCUGGUGGCGAGUGGCGAACGGGUGAGUAAUGCGUCGGAACGUAUCCAGUAGAGGGGGAUAACGUAGCGAAAGCUACGUAAUACCGCAUACGCCCUGAGGGGGAAAGCAUGGGAUCUUCGGACCAUGCGUUAUUGGAGCGGCCGACGUCUGAUUAGCUAGUAGGUGAGGUAAAGGCUCACCUAGGCGAUGAUCAGUAGCUGGUCUGAGAGGAUGAUCAGCCACACUGGAACUGAGAGACGGUCCAGACUCCUACGGGAGGCAGCAGUGGGGAAUUUUGGACAAUGGGCGCAAGCUNGAUCCAGCCAUUCCGCGUGAGUGAAGAAGGCCUUCGGGUUGUAAAGCUCUUUCGGCAGGGAAGAAAGUGUUUUGGUUAAUAACUCGAAAUGCUGACGGUACCUGAAGAAGAAGCACCGGCUAACUACGUGCCAGCAGCCGCGGUAAUACGUAGGGUGCGAGCGUUAAUCGGAAUUACUGGGCGUAAAGCGUGCGCAGGCGGCUCUGUAAGUCUGAUGUGAAAUCCCGGGCUUAACCUGGGGAACUGCGUUGGAAACUGUAGAGCUAGAGUGUAGCAGAGGGGGGUAGAAUUCCACGUGUAGCAGUGAAAUGCGUAGAGAUGUGGAGGAAUACCGAUGGCGAAGGAAGCCCCCUGGGUUAACACUGACGCUCAGGCACGAAAGCGUGGGUAGCAAACAGGAUUAGAUACCCUGGUAGUCCACGCCCUAAACGAUGUCAACUAGUUGUUGGGGGGGGAGACCUCCUUGUUAACGCGCUAACGCGUGAAGUUGACCGCCUGGGGAGUACGGUCGCAAGAUUAAAACUCAAAGGAAUUGACGGGGGCCCGCACAAGCGGUGGAUUAUGUGGAUUAAUUCGAUGCAACGCGAAAAACCUUACCUACCCUUGACAUGUACGGAAGACUCNAGAGAUGUGGUUGUGCUUGAAAGAGAACCGUAACACAGGUGCUGCAUGGCUGUCGUCAGCUCGUGUCGUGAGAUGUUGGGUUAAGACACCGCAACGAGCGCAACCCUUGUCAUUAAUUGCCAUCAUUUAGAUGGGCACUUUAAUGAGACUGCCGGUGACAAACCGGAGGAAGACGGGGAUGACGUCAAGUCCUCAUGGCCCUUAUNGGUAGGGCUUCACACGUAAUACAAUGGUCGGUACAGAGGGUUGCAAAGUCGCGAGAUGGAGCAAAUACCCAGAAAGACGAUCGUAGUCCGGAUUGUAGUCUGCAACUCGACUACAUGAAGUCGGAAUCGCUAGUAAUCGCGGAUCAACAUGUCGCGGUGAAUACGUUCCCGGGCCUUGUACA